rnacentral:lncRNA from 1 species
AGACGGGGUUUCACCGUGUUAGCCAGGAUGGUCCCGAACGCACUGCCAUUUCUUUGGUGCUGCACUAUGCCACCCCCACUCUCCCUUGUUUUCAGUGUUCCCAGCCACCCAAACUCUCAAGACUCCAUCGAUUUUCUGAGUCAGAUAAUGGGAGGUUUGUGAGAUGUCUUGAGGAUGCUUUCAAAACUCUAGGAGAUUUGGGAAUUCAUGAUUAUUAAUAUUGGGUUCAAAGACUCCUGAAUUUUGAACAAAUAUACAGACUGAAGCAAAAUAGAAAUAUAAUAGAAG